CCCCCUAAGCUACUAAGAUCCCUGAAAGUAGUACAGGUUCAUAGGUUCGAGGUGGAAGCAUGGUGACAUGUGGAGCUGACGAAUACUAAUAGAUCGAGGACUUAACCUU
rnacentral:rRNA from 1 species